rnacentral:rRNA from 1 species
GUGAUCAUACUAGCAUUAAAGCACUGGAUCCCAUCAGAACUUCGCAGAUAAGCGUGCUUGGGCGACAGUAGUACUAGGAUGGGUGACACCCUUGGGAAGUCCUCGUGUU